rnacentral:rRNA from 1 species
GCUGAACGCUGGCGGCGUGCCUAAUACAUGCAAGUCGAGCGAACGGACGACGAGCUUGCUCCUCUCACGUUAGCGCCGGACGGGUGAGUAACACGUGGAUAACCUCCCUAUAAGCCUUGGGUGACUUCGGGACGCCGGAUCUACUACCGGAUAAUAUCUUGAACCGCAUGGUUCAAUAGUGUAAGGCCGUUUUGCUGUCACUUAUCGAUAGUUACUCGUCGUAUUGGCUCGUUUGUAUGGUCACGGCUGACCAAGGCAACGAUGCGUAGCCGACCGGAGAGGAUAGGCAGCCACACUGGAAGGGGGGCAAGGUCCAGACACCGAAGGGAGGCAGCAGUAGGGAAUCUUCCGCAAUGGGCGCAAGCUUGACGCAGCAACGCCGGGUGAAUGAUGAAGGUCUUCGGAUCGUAAAACCCUGUUAUUAGGGAAGAACAAGGGUGUAAGUAACGAGGCACGUGUUGACGGUACCUAAGGAGAAAGCCACGGCUAACUACGUG